UACGUAGGGAGCAAGCGUUGUUCGGAUUUACUGGGCGUAAAGGGCGCGUAGGCGGCGUUGUAAGUCACUUGUGAAAUCUCUGAGCUUAACUCAGAACGGCCAAGUGAUACUGCAGUGCUAGAGUGCAGAAGGGGCAAUCGGAAUUCUUGGUGUAGCGGUGAAAUGCGUAGAUAUCAAGAGGAACACCUGAGGUGAAGACGGGUUGCUAGGCUGACACUGACGCUGAGGCGCGAAAGCCAGGGGAGCAAACGGG
rnacentral:rRNA from 1 species